AAUUUUAUACAUAUUAUAUUGAAAAUUUAUAAUCUUAUAUACUACAAUAAUUAAUAACAUAUUAGAUUUUUUUUAUGUGUAUGAUGUGAUUUAAUUUUUAAUACAAGCUCGAAAAUCCUAGAAUUGACGGGUUUAGAUCGAUAUUAAUACAAGAUGGUAUAAUACAGGUGAAACUCUUAAAUUAACAAUCAAACUACAUGUGUAUAAUCUUAAACACUAAACAAUAUAGAUAAUAUCAACAAAACAUAUACAACUCACAGUUUACUAUACAUUUAAAAUCAAAUAAAAUAAUAUCAUAUAUUUUAAAAUCAUCUUUACAGUAAAAGUUUUUAGUUUAACUAAUAUAUAAUAAGCCUACAUGCGGUAUACUGCAGGUUAAUAUCUAGAUUAUAGGGCUUAUUGGAUCUAAAAACGGGUCAUCAAAGAUUUCCUAAACUAAAGCAAAAUAUACUAAAUAUUCGAAUAUCUAUCUGUUACCAAAUUAUAAACAAAUAAGUUCGUAAAACAAUUUAAUAAUUUUAUAUACGAAAUCAAUUAAAUCUUAAUCACAUAAAAAUUAGCACAAAAAAAAGUACUCAACAAUUAAAAAAUUAUCAAAUCUCUGUGUUAUAUAAGUUUUGAUACUAUAUUUGAAUAAAGUGUAAUAUACCUUUUCAAUUUGUAUUCUUUAACUAAUA
rnacentral:sRNA from 1 species